rnacentral:rRNA from 1 species
GUGGGGAAUAUUGCACAAUGGGGGAAACCCUGAUGCAGCGACGCCGCGUGAGUGAAGAAGUAUCUCGGUAUGUAAAGCUCUAUCAGCAGGGAAGAAAAUGACGGUACCUGACUAAGAAGCCCCGGCUAACUACGUGCCAGCAGCCGCGGUAAUACGUAGGGGGCAAGCGUUAUCCGGAUUUACUGGGUGUAAAGGGAGCGUAGACGGCGGAGCAAGUCUGAAGUGAAAGCCCGGGGCUCAACCCCGGGACUGCUUUGGAAACUGUUCUGCUAGAGUGCUGGAGAGGUAAGUGGAAUUCCUAGUGUAGCGGUGAAAUGCGUAGAUAUUAGGAGGAACACCAGUGGCGAAGGCGGCUUACUGGACAGUAACUGACGUUGAGGCUCGAAAGCGUGGGGAGCAAACAGG